rnacentral:rRNA from 1 species
UACGUAGGGGGCAAGCGUUGUCCGGAUUUAUUGGGCGUAAAGGGUGCGUAGGUGGCGGGGUUAGUCAGGUGUGAAAUCUCGGGGCUCAACCCCGAAACUGCACUUGAUACUGCCUUGCUAGAGUACUGGAGAGGAGAUUGGAAUUUACGGUGUAGCAGUGAAAUGCGUAGAUAUCGUAAGGAAGACCAGUGGCGAAAGCGAAUCUCUGGACAGUUACUGACACUGAGGCACGAAGGCCAGGGGAGCAAACGGG